UCUCCAUCUCAGGUCACACAACUGUGGAGAAAAAGUGACACAGAAGUGGUCGUUUCUGUGGUGCCCUCUCAAAUUAUCGGGCACAACUUUGUAAUUCACCACAGUGAGUUUAGAACACUAAGGCCUCACCAGUGGCUUGUAGGCGAGGUCAUUGAAAGCCUCCUUCACCACACUGCCACUAAACUUAAUUUGGGAAGCACCAUUUACAUUCUAAGCCACUAUGUGGCUGGGGUGAUCCUCUUUGGCAAGAGAGAGGAUGUAAGGCGA